rnacentral:rRNA from 1 species
UACGUAGGGGGCAAGCGUUGUCCGGAUUUAUUGGGCGUAAAGAGCGUGUAGGCGGUUUGGUAGGUCCGCUGUGAAAACUCGAGGCUCAACCCCGAGACGCCGGUGGAAACCAUCAGACUAGAGUCCGGAAGAGGAGAGUGGAAUUCCUGGUGUAGCGGUGAAAUGCGCAGAUAUCAGGAAGAACACCCGUGGCUAAGGCGGCUCUCUAGUACGGUACUGACGCUGAGACGCGAAAGCGUGGGGAGCGAACAGG